rnacentral:rRNA from 1 species
GAUGAACGCUGGCGGUAUGCUUAACACAUGCAAGUCGAACGGUCACUUCGGUGAUAGUGGCGGACGGGUGAGUAACGCGUGAGAAUCUGUCUCUAGGUCUGGGACAACAGUUAGAAAUGACUGCUAAUACCGGAUGUGCCUAACGGUGAAAGAUUAAUUGCCUGAAAAUGAGCUCGCGUCAGAUUAGCUAGUAGGUGGUGUAAGAGACUACCUAGGCACCGAUCUGUAGCUGGUCUGAGAGGACGAUCAGCCACACUGGAACUGAGACACGGUCCAGACUCCUACGGGAGGCAGCAGUGGGGAAUUUUCCGC